CGGGGUUUUGAGGGCGAGAUGAGUUUUAUGUUUUAUCCAACUGGCCCACAAAGUCCCGCU
rnacentral:pre_miRNA from 1 species